CGGCGUGCCUAAUACAUGCAAGUCGAACGCACUCUCGUUUAGAUUGAAGGAGCUUGCUCCUGAUUGAUAAACAUUUGAGUGAGUGGCGGACGGGUGAGUAACACGUGGGUAACCUGCCCUAAAGUGGGGGAUAACAUUUGGAAACAGAUGCUAAUACCGCAUAAAACCUAACACCGCAUGGUGUAGGGUUGAAAGAUGGUUUCGGCUAUCACUUUAGGAUGGACCCGCGGUGCAUUAGUUAGUUGGUGAGGUAAAGGCUCACCAAGACCGUGAUGCAUAGCCGACCUGAGAGGUAAUCGGCCACACUGGGACUGAGACACGGCCCAGACUCCUACGGGAGGCAGCAGUAGGGAAUCUUCCACAAUGGACGAAAGUCUGAUGGAGCAACGCCGCGUGAGUGAAGAAGGUUUCGGAUCGUAAACUCUGUUGUUGGAGAAGAAUGUAUCUGAUAGUAACUGAUCAGGUAGUGACGGUAUCCAACCAGAAAGCCACGGCUAACUACGUG
rnacentral:rRNA from 1 species